GACGAACGCUGGCGGCGUGCUUAACACAUGCCAGUCGAACGGGAUUUAGUAAACAGACGCCUCGGUGGAAGAUUACUAAUGAGAGUGGCGAACGGGUGAGUAACGCGUGAGCAACCUGCCUAUGACAGUGGGAUAGCCUCGGGAAACCGGGAUUAAUACCGCAUAAAAUCGUAGAAACACAUGUUUUAACGGUCAAAGAUUUAUCGGUCAUAGAUGGGCUCGCGUCUGAUUAGCUAGUUGGUGAGAUAACAGCCCACCAAGGCGACGAUCAGUAGCCGGUCUGAGAGGAUGAACGGCCACAUUGGAACUGAGACACGGUCCAAACUCCUACGGGAGGCAGCAGUGGGGAAUAUUGCACAAUGGGGGAAACCCUGAUGCAGCGACGCCGCGUGAACGAAGAAGGUAUUCGUAUCGUAAAGUUCUGUCCUAUGGGAAGAUAAUGACAGUACCAUAGAAGAAAGCUCCGGCUAAAUACGUG
rnacentral:rRNA from 1 species